GUACCAGCGGCAGGCGGGCAGCGGCCGCCCCUCCCAGCCCACCAGCUGGCCACUAAAAGCUCCCGGUUGCCAAGGACUUCCUUCUUAAGGUUUUGAUCAAAUUAGAUGCACUGCUCAGAAGACAAAUGGCAUCACAGGACAGAUUUGAAAGAAGUUUCAAGAAAACAGCUGCAUUAGAAGACCAAGGGAGUUCCAGGAACAAGAUGAGAAGGGUAUUUUACUGUAUCGAACAUGUUCUCCAUUACGACUCUGGCAAUGAAAACAGUCACUAUGGCUGGUUACCAAUUAAGUCCCUACCAAAAAAAGAAUAGCCUUUAGAUCUCCCUUUAAUGAGGAUAAAAUGUGCUUACACUGA
rnacentral:lncRNA from 1 species